GAUGAAGAACGUAGCGAAAUGCGAUAAGUAGUGUGAAUUGCAGAAUUCCGUGAAUCAUCGAAUCUUUGAACGCACAUUGCGCCUUCUGGUAUUCCGGAAGGCAUGCCUGUUCGAGAGUCAUUAACAACCGUUUCGAUCCCUUUCUUUCAGAAAUUACAAAGAGGAAAAGGGUUUGGUUAUGGUGGAGGAGGGAAAGGGAGCGUUUAGCCUGUAAAAAAAGAGGCUGUGUUCCGCCUCCCCCCCAAAAUUGUACAGGCGGUCGUGUGCGCCCACGCAUCGAGGUGUUGUAAAAGCUGCCACGGCACUUUUCACCUGUGCAGUGCGAGAUUGGCCAGCCGGUUUAAAAACCCCUCCAAACAAUCAAAGGUUGACCUCGGGUCAGGUAGGGAUACCCGCUGAACUUAAGCAUAUCAAUAAGCGGAGGA
rnacentral:misc_RNA from 1 species